AGUGGGCACAUCGACUUCUUCUACACCGCAGAUGGAUGACUUAACCCGAGAGAUAGAGAGACUUCACAAUCUAUUUCAUUCAUCUCUUAAGGUGAUUCGAACAGACAUCAGGGACUCCAAAGACUUUGUAUCAGCUGAUCUAGAUGGACUCAGACUUACAGUGCGGGGUAUCCUGUCUCAGCUUGAUGGUAUUAGGACUCAGCUUCAGUCUAGGUCCUCUACAUCUAGUGAGCCUGCAUUUGUUCAGUCCAUUGCUUUCCGUCUUCUGGCAUCUUCAUCUCGGAUCAGACCCUUCAAUCAAGGAUGAGGCUGAUCAUGCUUCACCUAUCUUGAUCUCAUGAUCGAUGUCCAGUCUCACUGAUUUCAUCUUUUUAUAUUAGAUUACUUAGUUAUAUUUUAUAGAUUGGAUGUAUGAGAGCUUUAUGUUCAUUAUGACUCUUGUAACCUCUAUUUUGGUGUUAAUAAAUGA
rnacentral:lncRNA from 1 species